rnacentral:lncRNA from 1 species
CGACGGGAGAUGGCGGCGGGAGCUCUGUCCAACUGCCCGGAGCGGAUCAGGUAGAUGGUGUAGAGCACGUACUUGGAGGAGCGCUCGCUGACCACGCUGGCGCUGGUGACCUCGAAGAGCAGCCGCUGCGGUACGAGGCUGCUCCGCGACCGCCGCCACAGCUCCUGCAGCUGCCGGGUCAGCAGGCUGCCGGGCCGCGCCGCCGGGCCCCACUCUCCGUCCUGCGCAGCAUCCCCCGCCGGCAGCUCCUCGCCGCCGCCGUCCUCCUCCUCCUCCUCGUCCUCGUCCUCCUCGUGCCCGCUGAAGCUCAGGGUGCCGCUGAGGCGCGUGGACAGCCCCUCGGUGUCGUCCUCCAGCUCCGAGCUCUCGGGGCAGUCCUCGGCCUCAACGCCGUCGUGCGUCCGCUCCUCCCGGGCGCCCUCCGCGCCCAGCGCGUGCCGCAGGCGGUGCAGGAUGCGGGCGGCCAUCCCCGCGGCGCGGCUGCGGGUCAGCCCCGGCCGCCCCGACACCGGGACGGGCACGGGGAGAGGGGGGGCAGCGCGGGACCCCGCGCCGGGACGGCCCCGCUCCCGGCCGGGACCCUCCGGUCCCCCCGACCCGCGCCCACCCUCAGCCCCGCUCCCCCCGGAGCAGCCCCUCUGCCGCCGUGGGCGGUGCGCACCGUACCGAACCGCGCUGUGCCGGGCCGCGCCGCGCCGGGCGGUGCCGAGCGAUGGCCGCUCCGCCGCCGCUCGUCCCGGGAUCCUCCAUGCGCGGCUCCGCCUCCGCUGGGAACCCGGAUCGCGGCGGGGCUGUCACGUCCCGGCACGGCGAGGCGCGGCUCGGCACGGCGCAGCCCGGCUCUCUCCCUGCCAGCACGGCUCCUGCCCCAUCCCUGAGCACAGCUCCCUGAUGGUCCCCAGCCUACGCCGCCCCGGCACCCUGACACCUCGGUACCCCAACGCCGCAGCACCCCAACACCACGACAUCCCAACGCCCGGCACCCUCACCCACCGCCCCUGCCCUCCCCAGCCUCCACACGCC